rnacentral:rRNA from 1 species
CCCUUAGAUGUUCUGGGCAGCACGCGCGCUACAAUGGUCUUCGCAAACGGAUGCAUUCUCGAAGGAGAAUGCCAAUCUUGGAAUCUAUGCCUUGGUCGGGACAGUUUCUUGCAAUUUUUCGACUCGAACCAGGAAUUCCUUGUAAUCGUGAUUCAUCACAUCACGAUGAAUACGUCCCUGCCCUUUGUACACACCGCCCGUCGCUCCUACCGAUCGAAGAGUUAGGUGAAUUGUUUUGAUCGAUAAGAUUUGACUAUGGUCAACUCUCGUUGUGAAAUUCUGUGAAUCUGACUGUUUAGAGGAAGGAAAAGUCGUAACA